rnacentral:rRNA from 1 species
AACGAACGCUGGCGGCGUGCCUAACACAUGCAAGUCGCGCGCGAAGGGCUUCGGCCUUGUAGAGCGGCGCACGGGUGAGUAACACGUGGGUAAUCUACCCUUAGGUCUGGAAUAACCCAGGGAAACUUGGGCUAAUACCGGAUAAGACCACGGAAUGAAAAUUCUGUGGGAAAAGCGGAGGACCUCUUCGGAGGCUUCGUGCCAAAGGAUGAGCCCGCGUCCCAUCAGCUAGUUGGCGGGGUAAUGGCCCACCAAGGCUAAGACGGGUAGCUGGUCUGAGAGGAUGAUCAGCCACACUGGAACUGAGACACGGUCCAGACUCCUACGGGAGGCAGCAGUGGGGAAUCUUGCGCAAUGGGGGAAACCCUGACGCAGCAACGCCGCGUGAGUGAUGAAGGUCUUCGGAUCGUAAAGCUCUGUCGGUAGGAACGAUGGAUUUUAUGGCUAACAUCCAUGAGAUCUGACGGUACCUGCAAAGGAAGCACCGGCUAACUCUGUGCCAGCCGCCGCAGUAAUAC